rnacentral:misc_RNA from 1 species
GUGGAUUCCAUUCAGAGUGAGGAGGAUGAAGAUCCUUCUGACAUUCUGGAAAAGAAAUAUUAUAAACAAGAUAGAUCAUCAGGUGAGGUGGCUUUAGUUGAUGGCGCUUCUAGAAGUUCCCUAAACAAGAAGCUGGUGCUAAACAGAAAUUUGUCUUCAUCCACCCCUCGUACAACAGCAGCACCAGCUCCACGGUCAUCAGUGAAAAUUUCCAACCAAAGUUCUGGGAGGCG